rnacentral:rRNA from 1 species
UACGUAGGGUGCAAGCGUUGUCCGGAAUUAUUGGGCGUAAAGAGCUCGUAGGCGGUCUGUCGCGUCUGCUGUGAAAACUCGGGGCUUAACCCCGGGCCUGCAGUGGGUACGGGCAGACUAGAGUGCGGUAGGGGAGACUGGAAUUCCUGGUGUAGCGGUGAAAUGCGCAGAUAUCGUCAAGAACACCAAUAGCGAAGGCAGCUUACUAAGCUCUAACUGACACUGAUGCACGAAAGUGUGGGAUCAAACAGG